rnacentral:tRNA from 1 species
GGAAGGGUGGCCGAGCGGUUUAAGGCAGCGGUCUUGAAAACCGCCGUGGCAGCGAUGUCACCGUGGGUUCGAAUCCCACCCCUUCCGCCA